rnacentral:tRNA from 1 species
ACUCCAUUAGCUUAUAUUUAAAGUAAAACAAUGAAGAUGUUUAGAAAAAAAGAGUA